GGGCUUGUACUGGUUUCGACGGGGGUUUUGAAGUUGGGGAAGCCAUCCGCAGACUCCGGGACUGCGUACCAACCUGGAACUUAAAUAUAAACGCAGACAAUAAUAAUUUAGCGUUAGCUGCCUAAUUGCAGCUUGUCGGCCCCAGGUCACCUGCUGCCUGGGAAUCCGGCAUCGACUUUGCAGGGCCCUUUACUUUCAAAGCUUUGAGAAAGUAAAAGAUUUAUGAAGCUACUAAGUACAUCAGCCUGUCAUCCGGCGGUUGUAUAAGGGAAUGUUAAAAGAAUGACUGUGAUGGGAGAUGCCUCAAGGGAUAGACUUUCGGACGCGGGUUCGAUUCCCGCCAGGUCCACUA
rfam:Blautia sp. YL58, complete genome.